rnacentral:tRNA from 1 species
GGGGAUUUAACUCAGUGGUAGAGUGCUUGCCUAGCAAGCGCAAGGCCCUGGGUUCAGUCCCCA